rnacentral:rRNA from 1 species
UUGAACGCUGGCGGCAGGCCUAACACAUGCAAGUCGAACGGUAACAGGAAGAAGCUUGCUUCUUUGCUGACGAGUGGCGGACGGGUGAGUAAUGUCUGGGAAACUGCCCGAUGGAGGGGGAUAACUACUGGAAACGGUAGCUAAUACCGCAUAACGUCGCAAGACCAAAGAGGGGGACCUUCGGGCCUCUUGCCAUCGGAUGUGCCCAGAUGGGAUUAGCUAGUAGGUGGGGUAACGGCUCACCUAGGCGACGAUCCCUAGCUGGUCUGAGAGGAUGACCAGCCACACUGGAACUGAGACACGGUCCAGACUCCUACGGGAGGCAGCAGUGGGGAAUAUUGCACAAUGGGCGCAAGCCUGAUGCAGCCAUGCCGCGUGUAUGAAGAAGGCCUUCGGGUUGUAAAGUACUUUCAGCGGGGAGGAAGGGAGUAAAGUUAAUACCUUUGCUCAUUGACGUUACCCGCAGAAGAAGCACCGGCUAACUCCGUG